rnacentral:lncRNA from 1 species
AGUUUAGGCUAAAGCUGGGACAGACCCAGUUGGACACAUCAUGGACUCCUGGAAACAGUGAAAUUUGAUCUGUCUAUCUCAGCUGUCUUUGGAGGACUCUGAAGAUGUGUGGAUAUUCGUGGUGUUGGUGUCGGGUUUCCUGCUCUUUGGCCUUGGAGGCUACCCGGCUUACCGGAAAAUUAACAAGCUGUCGAGGAAUAUUGGCCUGAUCCCAGAGCGCAGAGAUGGUUUGCACCGCGCUGUGAAUUCACAGACUCACAUAAUUGUCUAGAUGAAUCGUAAGCUUGGGACUUUGGCCGAGAUUCAUUCUUUGGCACAAAAGAUGGAUGGCAUCAAGGAGAGAGUGGACGAAUCAGCACGGAUAGAUAAUGUCCAUUAUUGGGAUUUUGAGAGGUUGACGACCAACAAACUGUGAGACAGAGAGGAAAUUAUCUCUGUCUGGCCCCAAAACAAUUUCUAAUCGGAAUCUGGCGUCUUUGAGCCUGCAAGGCUCCAACGAAAACUCCCCCCUCAGAAGAUAUGUGGAAUGUGCCACCGCUAUGGCAACUCAACUCUGUCUCCUUUCCCAGCCUGGGUGGGACUGCGGGAAGGCCGCUGAAACGUUCCAGGGUCACUGCAACCCUCCAACCCUCAACGCCCCCCCCCCAUCCACACUGAGGUGACAUGCGCUGCUUAUCGUGGCUGCAGGAACUGAAGUGGGGAUAGUCCCAACCCACCAUCCCACCUAGUGGACACUUAUGUUGUGCUGUCUGAAGUCUGUUGCAUAUCUGUCUGAGGUGUUUUUUUGCAGAGCAAAGCUGCCCUCCCGGUGGAGGGUAACUCUGAAAUGCCUUUUUUCCCUCCACCUGAACCAAUCCUCAUGUAACCCUCUUAUCUCUAUUAAGAGCAUCAUAAGAAGAAUACAGAAAUAAAGGCGUUUUCCAUCAAUGACAUACAUUUGUUACGCUUUUCUGCCGAGCGCUGUGACGUGAGGUCAACCCGAACGUCCAUUAGAAGACACCCGGAGGGCAGGACUAUUUACGAUCGCAGGAGUUCCACAUCUGAGAGACAAAGAGAGGAGACGUCAGCCGGGCUGCAAAGGCCUCAAAGAGCUAACAAGCCGUCACUCAGCGUGUCCCCCUGUCUUCGGCAGCGCUGUCCCUUUCAAGUGCCUUUUUCACCGUUCAGUGUAUUUGGAUUGUUUUAUGUCUGGCGAUCAAACAUGGCUGAUGGCAUCAAACAGGUAACGAGGGGUCGGUUCCUCCCAGAUUGAUUCUUUAUGUUGUUGACACAGUUUUUGUCAAUUUGAGGCUGGGCUUGUUUGUGCUGAAGGGGAAUUUUAAAUCUUAAUCAAAACUCUUGAGUCCUGGUGAAAAGAAAAUCUUUAAGGCUUGUAAUUAAAACCUGCUGGAUGUGGCUGGACUGCAGAUGAGAAACCUGGGUUCAUUUAUUUUAUUUAUCAGAAAACAGAGAUGGAAAAGACUCGUUUUCUUUUUUUUAACAACUCAACUGUCGUGGAAGCUCUAAUUGAAUUUUAUGAUGAAUUUUGUUAUUGAUUAGAAUCCCUUGGCGAGCAUUUUAAAGGGACUUUUCGGACUUUUGAAUUUUUAUGCUCGCGAUUGCCCCCUCAGGCCAAAAGCGUCACGGCAGCUUCAAUAGUAGGCCGUGCACGAGGUGCGCAUGCUGUACGUGCACACUCCUUAACGAAAACAACAGCUGAGAUAGUCGUGUGUGUGUGUGUGUGUGUGUGUGUGUGUGGGUGUGUGUGUGUGUG